GGCCCGUUCAUCUAGGGGUUAGGAUGCGAGAUUCUCAGUCUCGUCACAGGGGUUCGAAUCCCCUACGGGCUGCCA
rnacentral:tRNA from 2 species